UACGUAGGGUGCAAGCGUUUGUCCGGAAUUAUUGGGCGUAAAGAGCUCGUAGGCGGUUUGUCACGUCGGAUGUGAAACCCUGAGGCUCAACCUCAGGCCUGCAUUCGAUACGGGCAGACUAGAAUUCGGCAGGGGAGACUGGAAUUCCUGGUGUAGCGGUGAAAUGCGCAGAUAUCAGGAGGAACACCGGUGGCGAAGGCGGGUCUCUGGGCCGAUAUUGACGCUGAGGAGCGAAAGCGUGGGGAGCAAACAGG
rnacentral:rRNA from 1 species